GUACCCUCAAGCUUUGCUUGGUGUUGGGCGUUUUGUCUCCAGUUCGCUGGAGACUCGCCUUAAAGUAAUUGGCAGCCGGCCUACUGGUUUCGGAGCGCAGCACAAGUCGCGCUCUCUUCCAGCCAAGGUCAGCAUCCACAAAGCCUUUUUUCAAC
rnacentral:misc_RNA from 1 species